rnacentral:rRNA from 1 species
AGUGAACGCUGGCGGUAGGCCUAACACAUGCAAGUCGAACGGCAGCACAGUAAGAGCUUGCUCUUACGGGUGGCGAGUGGCGGACGGGUGAGGAAUACAUCGGAAUCUACUUUUUCGUGGGGGAUAACGUAGGGAAACUUACGCUAAUACCGCAUACGACCUACGGGUGAAAGCAGGGGAUCUUCGGACCUUGCGCGAUUGAAUGAGCCGAUGUCGGAUUAGCUAGUUGGCGGGGUAAAGGCCCACCAAGGCGACGAUCCGUAGCUGGUCUGAGAGGAUGAUCAGCAACACUGGAACUGAGCCACGGUCCAGACUCCUACGGGAGGCAGCAGUGGGGAAUAUUGGACAAUGGGCGAAAGCCUGAUCCAGCCAUACCGCGGGGGUGAAGAAGGCCUUCGGGUUGUAAAGCCCUUUUGUUGGGAAAGAAAAGCAGCAGGUUAAUACCCCGCUGUUCUGACGGUACCCAAAGAAUAAGCACCGGCUAACUUCGUG